UGGGGAAUUUUGGACAAUGGGGCAACCCUGAUCCAGCAAUGCCGCGUGAGUGAAGAAGGCCUUCGGGUUGUAAAGCUCUUUUGUCCGGGAAGAAAUCCCAUCCCUGAAUACGGGGUGGGGAUGACGGUACUGGAAGAAUAAGCACCGGCUAACUACGUGCCAGCAGCCGCGGUAAUACGUAGGGUGCAAGCGUUAAUCGGAAUUACUGGGCGUAAAGCGUGCGCAGGCGGUUGUGCAAGACCGAUGUGAAAUCCCCGGGCUUAACCUGGGAACUGCAUUGGUGACUGCACGGCUAGAGUGUGUCAGAGGGGGGUAGAAUUCCACGUGUAGCAGCGAAAUGCGUAGAGAUGUGGAGGAAUACCGAUGGCGAAGGCAGCCCCCUGGGAUAACACUGACGCUCAUGCACGAAAGCGUGGGGAGCAAACAGGAUUAGAUACCCUGGUAGUCCACGCCCUAAACGAUGUCAACUAGUUGUCGGGGAUUAAUUUCCUUGGUAACGCAGCUAACGCGUGAAGUUGACCGCCUGGGGAGUACGGUCGCAAGAUUAAAAGCUCAAAUGAAUUGA
rnacentral:rRNA from 1 species